rnacentral:rRNA from 1 species
GACGAACGCUGGCGGCGUGCUUAACACAUGCAAGUCGAGCGCUGAAGCUCAGCUUUUGUUGGGUGGAUGAGUGGCGAACGGGUGAGUAACACGUGAGUAACCUGCCUCCUUCUUUGGGAUAACGCCCGGAAACGGGUGCUAAUACUGGAUAUUCACUGGUCUUCGCAUGGGGGGUGUGGGAAAGGGUUUUUCUGGUGGGGGAUGGGCUCGCGGCCUAUCAGCUUGUUGGUGGGGUGAUGGCCUACCAAGUCUUUGACGGGUAGCCGGCCUGGGAGGGUGACCGGUCACAUUGGGACUGAGAUACGGCCCAGACUCCUACGGGAGGCAGCAGUGGGGAGUAUUGCACAAUGGGCGAAAGCCUGAUGCAGCGACGCCGCGUGAGGGAUGGAGGCCUUCGGGUUGUGAACCUCUUUCGGUCAUGGUCAAGCCGCAACAAUGGUUGUGGUGAGGGUAGUGGGUAAAGAAGCGCCGGCUAACUACGUG